GGAAGUGAAAGUCGUAACAAGGUUUCCGUAGGUGAACCUGCGGAAGGAUCAUUACCGAGUGAGGGUUUCUCUGAAGCCCAACCUCCCACCCGUGUAUACCGUACCCUGUUGCUUCGGCGGGCCCGCCUCACGGCCGCCGGGGGAUCUCGCGUCCCCGGGCCCGCGCCCGCCGAAGACCCCAACACGAACACUGUCUGAAAAGUGCAGUCUGAGUCGAUUGUUACCAAUCAGUCAAAACUUUCAACAAUGGAUCUCUUGGUUCCG
rnacentral:misc_RNA from 1 species